rnacentral:rRNA from 1 species
AUGGAGGGCAUCAACUCCAUCAGGACUAGGAACCUGGUGUCAUUGUCUGCGCAACAGCUGAUAGACUGCGACAAGGGAAGUUUCGGCUGUCGUGGCGGCUACGUGUCAUCGGCCUUCAAGUACAUGAUCAAACACCGCGGCAUUGCCACAGCUACUAACCACCCAUAUGUUGCCCAUGAGCAUGACUACUGCUUGAUGCCGAAGCGGAAACAUGUCGUCACCAUCGAUGGCUUUAAAGAGGUGCCGCCAAAUGAUGAGAUGGCGUUGCUGCAGGCAGUGGCGGCCCAACCUGUCAUUGUGGCUGUCGACCCGAAGGCCUUCCAGCGCUAUGGAGGAGGUGUCUUUGUGGGUCCCUGUGGGACAAAUUGGACCCAUACAAUGACGGUGGUCGGCUAUGGCACCACCCAUGAUCAUGACCCCAAGAGACGCAUGCAAUACUGGAUCAUAAAGAAUUCGUGGGGGGCAAAAUGGGGUGAAAACGGCUACAUCCGCAUGGUGCGCGGAGCUGGUUCCUCCAAGUAG